rnacentral:rRNA from 1 species
CAGCCGUAAACAAUGUGCGUUAGGUGUAUCGGUGACCACGAGUUACCGAGGUGCCGAAGGGAAACCGUGAAACGUGCCGCCUGGGAAGUACGGUCGCAAGGCUGAAACUUAAAGGAAUUGGCGGGGGAGCACCACAAACAGGUGGAGCCUGCGGUUUAAUUGGACUCAACGCCGGGAAGCUCACCGGAUAGGACAGCAGAAUGAUUGCCGGGCUGAAGACCCUGCAUGACUAGCUGAGAGGAGGUGCAUGGCGUCAGUGACU